rnacentral:rRNA from 1 species
GGGUUGUGAGGUUAAGCGACUAAGCGUACACGGUGGAUGCCCUGGCAGUCAGAGGCGAUGAAGGGCGUGCUAAUCUGCGAUAAGCGCCGGUAAGGUGAUAUGAACCGUUAUAACCGGCGAUACCCGAAUGGGGAAACCCAGUGUGAUUCGUCACACUAUCAUUAACUGAAUCCAUAGGUUAAUGAGGCGAACCGGGGGAACUGAAACAUCUAAGUACCCCGAGGAAAAGAAAUCAACCGAGAUUCCCCCAGUAGCGGCGAGCGAACGGGGAGGAGCCCAGAGCCUGAAUCAGCAUGUGUGUUAGUGGAAGCGUCUGGAAAGGCGCGCGAUACAGGGUGACAGCCCCGUACACAAAAGCGCAUGUGCUGUGAGCUCGAUGAGUAGGGCGGGACACGUGGUAUCCUGUCUGAAUAUGGGGGGACCAUCCUCCAAGGCUAAAUACUCCUGACUGACCGAUAGUGAACCAGUACCGUGAGGGAAAGGCGAAAAGAACCCCGGCGAGGGGAGUGAAAAAGAACCUGAAACCGUGUACGUACAAGCAGUGGGAGCACAGGUUUACCUGUGUGACUGCGUACCUUUUGUAUAAUGGGUCAGCGACUUAUAUUCUGUAGCAAGGUUAACCGAAUAGGGGAGCCGGAGGGAAACCGAGUCUUAAUUGGGCGUUAAGUUGCAGGGUAUAGACCCGAAACCCGGUGAUCUAGCCAUGGGCAGGUUGAAGGUUGGGUAACACUAACUGGAGGACCGAACCGACUAAUGUUGAAAAAUUAGCGGAUGACCUGUGGCUGGGGGUGAAAGGCCAAUCAAACCGGGAGAUAGCUGGUUCUCCCCGAAAGCUAUUUAGGUAGCGCCUCGUGAAUUCAUCUCCGGGGGUAGAGCACUGUUUCGGCUAGGGGGCCAUCCCGGCUUACCAACCCGAUGCAAACUGCGAAUACCGGAGAAUGUUAUCACGGGAGACACACGGCGGGUGCUAACGUCCGUCGUGAAGAGGGAAACAACCCAGACCGCCAGCUAAGGUCCCAAAGUCAUGGUUAAGUGGGAAACGAUGUGGGAAGGCCCAGACAGCCAGGAUGUUGGCUUAGAAGCAGCCAUCAUUUAAAGAAAGCGUAAUAGCUCACUGGUCGAGUCGGCCUGCGCGGAAGAUGUAACGGGGCUAAACCAUGCACCGAAGCUGCGGCAGCGACACUGUGUGUUGUUGGGUAGGGGAGCGUUCUGUAAGCCUGUGAAGGUGGCCUGUGAGGGUUGCUGGAGGUAUCAGAAGUGCGAAUGCUGACAUAAGUAACGAUAAAGCGGGUGAAAAGCCCGCUCGCCGGAAGACCAAGGGUUCCUGUCCAACGUUAAUCGGGGCAGGGUGAGUCGACCCCUAAGGCGAGGCCGAAAGGCGUAGUCGAUGGGAAACAGGUUAAUAUUCCUGUACUUGGUGUUACUGCGAAGGGGGGACGGAGAAGGCUAUGUUGGCCGGGCGACGGUUGUCCCGGUUUAAGCGUGUAGGUG